GAAGCAAUUUUUUACGAUCCCUUCGGGGUGAAGAGUUAUUGACUGAGUGGCGGACGGGUGAGUAACGCGUGGGUAACCUACCUUGUACAGGGGGACAACAGUUGGAAACGACUGCUAAUACCGCAUAAGCGCACAGCAUCGCAUGAUGCAGUGUGAAAAGUUUUUUCGGUACAAGAUGGACCCGCGUCUGAUUAGCUAGUUGGUGAGGUAACGGCUCACCAAGGCGACGAUCAGUAGCCGACCUGAGAGGGUGACCGGCCACAUUGGGACUGAGACACGGCCCAAACUCCUACGGGAGGCAGCAGUGGGGAAUAUUGCACAAUGGGCGCAAGCCUGAUGCAGCGACGCCGCGUGAGCGAAGAAGUAUUUCGGUAUGUAAAGCUCUAUCAGCAGGGAAGAUAAUGACGGUACCUGACUAAGAAGCACCGGCUAAAUACGUGCCAGCAGCCGCGGUAAUACGUAUGGUGCAAGCGUUAUCCGGAUUUACUGGGUGUAAAGGGAGCGUAGGCGGUUUUACAAGUCUGAUGUGAAAGCCCGGGGCUCAACUCCGGUAUUGCAUUGGAAACUGUAGAACUAGAGUGUCGGAGGGGUAAGUGGAAUUCCUAGUGUAGCGGUGAAAUGCGUAGAUAUUAGGAGGAACACCAGUGGCGAAGGCGGCUUACUGGACG
rnacentral:rRNA from 1 species